rnacentral:rRNA from 1 species
CAACUUUUGACAACGGAUCUCUUGGCUCUCGCAACGAUGAAGAACGCAGCGAAAUGCGAUACGUAAUGUGAAUUGCAAAAUCUCGUGAAUCAUCAAAUCUUUGAACGCAUAUUGCACUCUAUUUCUAUAGAGUAUGCCUGUUUGAGAAUCUAU